CAGAGCAUCACAUGAAUAGGUAUUUGAUCACUUUGGUAAAUCAUAAACCCUUGUUUUACUGAAAAUGAUAGGAGAAGGUAUUUCUCUAAAAGAGUUUACUUGGAAAGAAUGAUAAAAGGUACCAAGACAUCGCAGUGGGGUUAGAAAUAGUCUCUUCAAUAAAUGAUGCUGGGACAACGGGCAUCCACACGUGAGCAAAUGAAGCUGUCCCUUCCUCACAAUAUACACAAAAACGAACUCAAAUGGGCCACGAUCUAAAUGGAGGAGCUAAAGCUGUGAAACUCCCAGCAGAAAACAGGACACAUCUGUGGGGGAGGCAAUAGUUUUUUGGCUAUGACACCACAAGCUCAAGCAACAAAACAAAAUAAAUAAAUACAUAAACUAGAUUUCAUCAAAAUUCAAAGCUUUUGUGUUGCAAACGACAGCAUUAGAAAAGUGAAAAGACAGCCCACAGAAUGGGAGGAAAUAUUUGCAAACCGUCUAUUUGGUGAGAGAGGCAUACCCCACAAUACAAGGGCAAGUAUUCCAUUCAACAGUGGGCAGAGGACUUGAGUGGACCUGGAAGCCGUGCGACGGCCAAUGAGCACAGACGUGAGAAGAUGCUCACACCACUCGGCCUGGAGGGAAAGUGACGCUGGGCACCCGCCCUGCUCGGCCACUUGCUGGUGGGUGGCCGGGGACAGGGAGCGGCAGACUGGCCUCUACUUCCUCACCUAUGAAGGGGGUGGCGCCGAGCAACUCUGAAGUCACUCCCCGCUCUAAACUCUGCUGGUGAGACACCUGAACUUCAAGCAUUUUCAUCCUUUCUUGGAACAACUGUGGCGGCUGCUUUUUGGUACGACAGCUAGACUCGGCAGUGGGAGGCGACUUGCCACAGGGAACUGGAAACUGCGCCGCCAGCUGUGACAUCACAGCCACUGCCGUCUCUCGGCUGUGAACGCACCGCUCAGUUCAUCACUGGGAAACGCCGGAGAACUGAGUUACGGGCUCUUCCCAGUGUCCACACGCCAUCAUACAACCUGAAAACGCCGCACACUGUGAGCGCCACCCUGAGCUGAGCAGAGAGGCUGGGAACUGCACAACUAUCAAGGUGACAGAGAUAUUUUUCAAGAUUCAAAUUUUUGGUUGAAAAUGCAAAAUUUAUCCCUGGAAACACAUGUUAUCAGUUGUUUUCCUUGGCGAGACAGUCUUGCUUCUUUCUUUUUUGAGAAAAUGUCUACCAAACGUACAACCUGAACCGCACGGCACACCUGCCGGCUCUCCUCUCCAGGAACUCAGGCUUCCAGGCGCAGCCCAGUCCCCCAGCGCCGCAUGGAAACAGCUGCCGGUGACUCUCUGGCCCUGACAACAUUGUCUGGGGUUUGCCAAGCUUCCUCUUGAAGGGCCAGGAGUAAAUACUCUGAUCUUGGGGGCCACACAGUAACUGACUCCUCAACUCUGUCUGUGGCAGUGAAACCAGCCACAGACACUGCAGUUUGUCCCAGUCAAACGCUCAUGAAUGAAAUGGGGCAGUGGGGGUGGUUGGCGGAGGCCUGUGUGAAAGGCAGAACCAUCUCUGAUGACAGGAAAGAACCUAAAACAGGCACUUGGAAGCACCUCCAAAACAGCGGGGUGUUUAAAAACGGAAGCAGAGCUGGUCUCUCUACUCGGCAACAGAAGGAAAAGCCCUGCCUCCUGCACCCACGAGCCUGCAGCACAGCUGCCAGAACUCGGCCGAAUGAGCACAUUCCACAUCCCCCAGCGUGAGAUACAGGGCCGUGCCCAGGUGGGAGAGGCCUGGAACUCUGUGAGUUUGGGGGUGUGGGGUGCAUUACUUGGCGCCCAUCUGUGGGGCUGAAGUGUGAAUGCCUGGCCACAGGGAGCACAGCGAGGCUGGCACAGGAGGGAGCCUGCCCCUGCGGAGAGCCCGCUGUGAGCUGGCAGACCUCCGCCCCAGCGCUGGCCUCUGGCAGCUGUCCCGAGGUGAGACGGAGAAAUGUCCUGGCUCCAACACUAAGUCGCUCACAGUGACAUCCAUCAGACAGGCGCCGCGGGCCUCCUGCCUGGCCUCGGGUUUCCAUUUGUUGAGGAGGGUGCACUGUGGAACCCUCCCCCCUGAAAGUCUGGGAAACUGUGCCAGUCCCCAGACAUCGUCAAAUGGGCGGCAGUGCUCACUGCUGCACAACUGGAGGCACCACCACGGAAAGAGAAGCUCUCGGGCAGACGGUAAAAGCUGGGGUGGCAUCCAAACAGCACUUCGGGUUCACAGAUUUCGAAACAUUUUCAAAAA